UACGUAGGUGGCAAGCGUUAUCCGGAAUUAUUGGGCGUAAAGAGCGCGCAGGUGGUUGAUUAAGUCUGAUGUGAAAGCCCACGGCUUAACCGUGGAGGGUCAUUGGAAACUGGUCGACUUGAGUGCAGAAGAGGGAAGUGGAAUUCCAUGUGUAGCGGUGAAAUGCGUAGAGAUAUGGAGGAACACCAGUGGCGAAGGAGGCUUCCUGGUCUGUAACUGACACUGAGGCGCGAAAGCGUGGGGAGCAAACAGGAUUAGAUA
rnacentral:rRNA from 1 species